UUGCUUUCUCAUCAUCUGUACUAAAAUCAUAACAACACAGAGACAAGAAGCAUGGCCCCAGGAAAGGACGACACGCGAGUUUGUGAAGCAUUCCAGCUUUGA
ensembl:snRNA U6 U6 spliceosomal RNA